rnacentral:rRNA from 1 species
AGUGAACGCUGGCGGUAGGCCUAACACAUGCAAGUCGAACGGCAGCACAGUAAGAGCUUGCUCUUACGGGUGGCGAGUGGCGGACGGGUGAGGAAUACAUCGGAAUCUACUUUUUCGUGGGGGAUAACGUAGGGAAACUUACGCUAAUACCGCAUACGACCUACGGGUGAAAGCAGGGGAUCUUCGGACCUUGCGCGAUUGAAUGAGCCGAUGUCGGAUUAGCUAGUUGGCGGGGUAAAGGCCCACCAAGGCGACGAUCCGUAGCUGGUCUGAGAGGAUGAUCAGCCACACUGGAACUGAGACACGGUCCAGACUCCUACGGGAGGCAGCAGUGGGGAAUAUUGGACAAUGGGCGCAAGCCUGAUCCAGCCAUACCGCGUGGGUGAAGAGGGCCUUCGGGUUGUAAAGCCCUUUUGUUGGGAAAGAAAAGCAGCAGGUUAAUACCCCGCUGCUCUGACGGUACCCAAAGAAUAAGCACCGGCUAACUUCGUG